CGGAAGGCCAGUCAGACCAUGAGGGCUUAUGCUGCAACCCCUAAGGGUAUAACCAGGAGUUGCGAAGUGGUCGUAGUUGUUCAUGUCUCAAUCUGGAUCAUCUUUGCUUUUUGCUUCUGCUUUGUGCUAUCCCUCUUCCCGUACCUCAGUUCUAUCUGGAACCAUGAUCUGUGACUGCCAUGGAAAAGUGUUGGGCAGGAGGAGGCCAGCUGGGUCUUUGAAGUUGACAAUGGAGCCAGGAAUGAAAGCUGCACUUAGGAUGAGAAUUGCUUUCCCUGGAGCCAAGUCAGCAAAUGCAGUCUGGUUGUCAGAGCUGAGAGGCUUCACCAAGUCAAGUAGGGGAGGACAUCUUCACUCUGCAACUUGCCCUACUGAAUGCAGAAAGUACUGUCUACUUAGAUAAAGCCUACACUAAAAGGGAAUUGAAUCUCUGCAAAUAAGUAUGUGGAUCUAAUUUCUACCUUCCAGAUUAAAAGUAUAAUUAAAAAUGAAAACCUUUGUAGGACUAAAUUGAUUUUGCAGACAAAUCUCACUUCUUAGCUUGAGCUGACUUAUUCCCAAUCUUAAACCCUAAUUAAUAACAUACAAGAAU
rnacentral:lncRNA from 1 species